rnacentral:tRNA from 2 species
UAGAAUAUGGUGUAUAGGUAGCACGAAGAAUUUUGAAUUCUUAGGUAUGGGUUCAAUUCCUACUAUUCUAG